CCCUUAGAUGUCCGGGGCCGCACGCGCGCUACACUGAAGGAAUCAGCGUGGCUUUCUCCCUGACCCGAAAGGGUUGGGAAACCCGUUGAAUCUCCUUCGUGAUAGGGAUUGGGGCUUGAAAUUGUUCCCCAUGAACGAGGAAUUCCCAGUAAGCGCGAGUCAUAAGCUCGCGUUGAUUACGUCCCUGCCCUUUGUACACACCGCCCGUCGCUACUACCGAUUGAACGGUUUAGUGAGGGCCUCGGAUUGGUCUCGGCCCGCUCUUUACCGGGCGGCGCCGUUGGUCGAGAAGACGCUCGAACUUGAUCUUUUAGAGGAAGUAAAAGUCGUAACA
rnacentral:rRNA from 1 species